AAUUAUUAUAUUGCAUUUUUGAUUUGCUUGACAUGGGGUGACGUGAAUCUGCUGCACAGCUCUGGAAGCAGCAAGGAGUGACAAGCUCAGCACGCUCUGGCCAUUCAUUCUGAGUGAAAAGUAGAGAUACAAGCUGUGCUGAAAACCCUUUGCCCCAAGAAUGAGGAAAAGCUGCUCUUUUGUCCUGUUCUGCUUUUUCAGGAAUCAGCAGCAGCCCUCUUUCAGACGAUGUAUGAUGGAAGGGUCAAUCUCCUCCUUUUCAGUCGAAGCCUUUCUCUGUAGUGCUGUUAGUCUCAUUUUUUGGCGGUGAUCAGCAGUUUUGCUCAGUGUACGUGGGACACUUGCUGCAGACAAUUUACAAACAUCAGGGGGAAAAAGGGAGUUGGCGGUGUUUUUGAAUUCCCGCACCAUGUGAAAGCUCUUGUUCCUUCCACGAUGGGUAUUUGUCAUCAGGUCAUGUGAAUGUUUUGGCGAACCAAAGGAUGGAUUGUUCUGUUUUGUUGCUCGGAUUGUGAAAUAGGAAUAUCCAUAACAUGACAAGGCAUGAAAGAGCCUGAAAUGAAUUAAGGCUGUGCUUUAAUGAAUGGGCUUUUCAUUUAGCAGAUUCUUUAUAAACAACUGUGGUAAACUCUCUUUCAGUAAAUCCAAAAGGAUGGUUGACACAUACAUUUCGUAUGGGUGAGUACUGGCAAACUAGAACUGAUCAUCAUUCCAGAUAGACCAUCUUUUCGAAUAAGUGUUCUAACUAUUAUAUUUCAACUGGAAGAACUGCUCCAGUGUAAAGCCAAUACAAUAUGUGCUAUGUUUAAUCUGAUUAUCUCAAUACUUGGACAGAUGAGAUCAUUCUCAAGCUGGAUACUCCAGAAAUCAUCCAACUGAUGUGAAUCUCGCAGCCUUCACUGUAAAGUGGCAGGUUUCUGUCUGCUGAUUUAUUUGCUAAGUUGUGCUGACAGUAACAGAGCCAAUGGAUAUUCCAUGCUAAAGGUGGAAGAACUGAGCAGGCAUAGACAAGUAAAACAUGUGAUAAUGUCCAGUGCUCCAUUCAAAGCUGUGUAUUUAUUCAGAUGCUGAGUUCCUCUAGGCAAAUGUUGCACCUGACUGUUUUUCAAGAUUUAAACCAUAACCAAAGAUAAUACCUACAAUCCAUCCUUAAGAGAAAAUUGAAGAGAUCUGUAUCCAAAUGUGUGUAUGAUGGAAAAUGUUGUGACUGUGCAUCUGUUGUAAGUAUUUGAAAACAUUGAAUUUUGCCAAGACAACUGUGCCAAAAAAUGUGGGUCAUUAGAAAGCAAGAUCUGUAAGGAAGCACAGCCAGUAAGUUGGAUCAUUUUUCUUUUCUGAUCUUUCCAGGAAGUUAAGCAGUUCAGGGUAAACGUACUAUUUGUUCCUUAAGGGCUUACUAACCCACUUGAAACAGAACCUGAUGUACAUCUAGCCAUCUAAUUUCUCAUGAUGAUGUAGGCUUACAUCACUUUUUGCUUUCAGAUGCAUCUCAAAGAGUACCACCAGUGUCCAUAUGCCGGUUUGAAUGGGAAGAGUUUAAGGCGAUUGACACUUGCUGUGUGCUCCUGUUCAUGUUAGAGAAUACUGGAGCUGAGCCCUAUAAUCCCAAUCCCAAAUAAGCAUCUGGGUUUCCUGGUUGCUAGCAGGUUCCUCAGAAAGUCAGUGCAUCCAGUACUAGUCUGGAGAAAUGGUUUUGUGGGAUAUAUGGCAAGAACACUCUUAAUGAUAUCAGUGCCCCUUGCCUGUGGCCACUUCUUAUUGUUGAAAGUGUUAGUGUGAUUUUUUAGUCCUUGGUGAUCCCUUUGUGUUACAUUUUGUGUUAACCUGCUGUUAGGCAUCUGGUUCCAGCUACAGACACUGACUCAUAACUGAUGAAGAAACACCUCCUACUGCUCGGUGAGGCAAUGGACUGUGAACGAACUUACCGUCAUCAAUCAAAAUGAUUUCACAAACUUGUUCCUGACUUUUGUUGACCCUACGAUUUCGGAGCUGAGAAUGCAGAACAGAAGCUCUGUAGCUUGGGGCUGAAAGUUUGAAUCAGGCUGUUUUCUUCAAGCUGUAAAUCCGUGCCAAGAACUCCCCAACAGCAUUCUUCUCUGCCUUCCCAAAUCAUUCGGAGAGCAAACAAACUUUUCCUUGAGUCAUUGAUUUCUUCAAGAAAGCAUUUGUGUUUAUUACAUAUGAAUGAAGAAUGGCUAGACUGCACAUUUUACAGCUCACAGCUCUCCAGUGAAAGCUAUAAAUAAGAUCUUUGACAGCAGAGAGCUGCUUUCUCCCCCGUGUAUUUUGAUCUGUGAAGAGGACUUCUCCCUUCCCAGACGGGGUACUGCCAUGCUGGGUAGGAAAAACUGCCUGGCAGUUUUCUGUCAUCUCCUCUGAACUCAUAAGGCUCUGGGACAUGUUGUGCCAUCUAUAACUGGUUUUACUGCCUGAAUGAAAAGCUUUUGAUGUAAUAAACAAUGUACACAACGCA